rnacentral:rRNA from 1 species
AGUGAACGCUGGCGGUAGGCCUAACACAUGCAAGUCGAACGGCAGCACAGGAGAGCUUGCUCUCUGGGUGGCGAGUGGCGGACGGGUGAGGAAUACAUCGGAAUCUACUCUGUCGUGGGGGAUAACGUAGGGAAACUUACGCUAAUACCGCAUACGACCUACGGGUGAAAGCAGGGGACCUUCGGGCCUUGUGCGAUUGAAUGAGCCGAUGUCGGAUUAGCUAGUUGGCGGGGUAAAGGCCCACCAAGGCGACGAUCCGUAGCUGGUCUGAGAGGAUGAUCAGGCACACUGGAACUGAGACACGGUCCAGACUCCUACGGGAGGCAGCAGUGGGGAAUAUUGGACAAUGGGCGCAAGCCUGAUCCAGCCAUACCGCGUGGGUGAAGAAGGCCUUCGGGUUGUAAAGCCCUUUUGUUGGGAAAGAAAUCCAGCUGGCUAAUACCCGGUUGGGAUGACGGUACCCAAAGAAUAAGCACCGGCUAACUUCGUGCCAGCCGCCGCAGUAA